AUUUACAGAGCUGUAGAAUUUGUAAAAAUUAGGAGAGGUUCAGUUAAAAAUAGUAAAUACACGGCGUCUUACUCUCGUGGGCGCCUCUUCCUAUACAACAUGGCCACCAGUGCCGAGCGGGCCAGGGGCUUCAGUGCUUAGUGCUGCUAGUGCCCAAUCAGUCGCAAUGAAACCAGCAACUUGGUACAGCAGAUCAGUCAUGGUGGUGGUGCUGCUGGUAAGUGCCUCCACCCUCAGCCAGAAGACAUCACAUCAAACACUCUCCGAAAUCAUGGACAGGAUCACUGAACUCACGAAACGAAAAGUUCCUCUCUGCGAGGAACACACAGUGAAGGACGACUAUGUUAUGACGCAGGUGAAGGCCUUGCAGGAGAUCACUGAGUUUCAAAACGGUGUGCUAAGUGACCUUCGCUACAUGGCUAGUAAACUGAGUGAGAACAUCGACGAAUACUUGCCAGGGAAUCUCCGGACAAAGUCAGCCUCCGUCACUAGUGUCGUCUAAGAUUCGCUGUUACUAGCAGGAGUGAGGACGAGCAGCAGCUCCGGCCUCCACUGGCCUCCUCACACCUGUGGAAGACGCAUGUUCACCAUCCCCACAGAUUUCUUAUAUAUAUGAAUAUAAUAUAAGUGAACCACAAUAGGUCUGUUGGUACUCCUGUUUAUACCAAGCCAUCAUCAAUUAUGUAUUGGUAUUCCUGUUUAUACCAAGCCAUCAUCAAUUAUGUGUUGGUAUUCCUGUUUACACCAAGGCAUUUUCAUUUAUGUAUUGGUAUUCCUGUUUAUACCAAGCCGUCAUCAAUUAUGCAUUGGUAUUCCUGUUUACACCAAGCCAUCAUCAUUUAUGUAUUGGUAUUUCUGUUUACAUCAAGCCAUCAUCAAUUAUAUGAUGGUAUUCCUAUGUAUACCUCUCCCCUCAAUCUGUGUCUGUCGAAGGCUGCAGAUUUUGAGCUCUUAACAACUAUUUAAAUAAUCUACUCAUGAUAGGCUUUGCCCUUGUGGACUUUUUGUGAACAUUGAUGCAUUAAUAUCUCAGUUUCAAGCGCUAACUAAUCUUUACUCUAAGAUCCUACCACCUAUUCCAUACAUUUGAAACAUCUGCCACAUUGCUUUCCUAUCCACUCUAUCACAUGCCUUUUCAAAAUUCAUAAAUACGAUAACCUCUUUACCCUUAUCUAAACACUAUUCACCUAUAUGUGUUAAUGUAAGCACUAGGAAUAAAGCCCCCUCCCUACCCUUCCUAAAGCCUCCUUGUUCAUCUGCUAUCCUGCUCUUCGUCAUACUCUUUAAUUCUUUCAAAAAUAACUCUACCAUACACUUUAUCAGGUAUUCUCAACAGACUUAUUUCCCUAUAUUUUUUUUUACACUCUUUGUCCCCUUUGCCUUUAUACAAAGGAAUUAUGCAUGCUCUCUGCCAUUCCCUAGGUACCUUCCCCUCUUCUACAUAUUUAUUAAAUAAAAGCACCAAUCAUUCCAAAACUACAUCCCCACCUGCUUUUAAUAUUUCUAUCUCUAUCCCUUCAAUCCCAGCUGCUUUACCCCCCCCUUCGUUCUACCCACUGCCUCACGCACCUUCCCCAUAUUCACAACUGGCUCUUCCUCACUCCUACAUGAUGUUAUACCUCCCUGCCCAAUGCACGAAAUAACAGUUUCCUUAUCUUCAUCAACAUUUAACAGUUCUCCAAAAUAUUCUCUCCAUCUUCCCGAUACUUCCAACUCUCCUAUUUUUAACCGCCAAAUCCAUUCAUUCCCUUUUUUUUUUUAAUUAAUUAAUCUCACUUGAAAACUUUUUCUAAUUCUCAGCAAAAUUUUUUGACAGCAUCUCACCCACUCUCUCACUUGUUCUACUUUUACAUUCCUUGACCACUCUCCCUUUCAAAGUUUGGGAAUUUAUUACUUUCCCUAUUAUUUUGUCAUCAGAACAACACUGUAUGCUUCUCUUAAAUCAAGUCGAUGUAUAUGUUAUAAACUUAACUCUUGUCAACUGCUUUCAAUAUGUUUGAGAAGAGUUACAAUAAAGUUGUUAAUCUUCA